CCCUUAGAUGUUCUGGGCUGCACACGUGCUACACUGGCAGGUUCAGCGAGCUUCAUGCCCUGAUCUGAAAGGAAUGGGAAAUCCUUUCAAAACCUGCCGUGCUUGGGAUAGAUGUUUGCAAUUAUUCAUCUUCAACGAGGAUUGCCUUGUAAGCGCACGUCAUCAGCGUGCAUUGAAUACGACCCUGUAUUCUGUACACACCGCCCGUCGCUCCUACCGAUUGAAGUUUUCGGUGAGUUGACAGGAGGAUUUUUUUGAAACUGGUUCGUCAGUGGAUUUUAGAUCCAAAUGCCAACGAAUCGAUGGCUUUAGAGGAAGGAGAAGUCGUAACA
rnacentral:rRNA from 1 species